UUUUUUUUUUUGAGAGAGUCUUACUAUGCAGUUCAGCAUGGACUUGAGCUCACUUUAUAGCCCAGGCUGGUCUUAAAUGGAAAUAAUCCUCCUGCCUCAGCCUCCUGAGUUCUGGGAUUAUAAGCACGCCCAGCAAUUAUGUUUAACAUUUAAAAAGCCCUUUAGGCUGAGGCAGGAGGAUCAUGGUAAAUUUGAGGCCACUCUGGGGCACAUAGUAAGAUCCUGUUUCAAACAACAACUACAUAUCCUUCAAAGGAAAAGAAAAUCCCUGUAGGGCAUAUGGAUAGCUCUCUGUAAAGCCCCUGGUCUAUCCUCACACUCCGAAAGCUAAAAAUAUAUAAAUUAGAAACCUUUUGCUUUCAGCAAAUCACCUGUUACCUCCACCCUUGGAAAUGUGCUUUUUUCAGGAAUGUAGUCAUUUUGUCCAGAAAAGCAUGUUUCCUGCUUCCAUUUUUCAAAUGUUGAAGUUUUAAAUUUUGCAGUAAAAGAAUGCUUUACUAUAGAACAUGAAAGCAAAUGAGUUUCGCUUUGAGAAUAAAUAUUGGUAAUUUGUAGGUAAUGUCUCUGAGUCCCUCUGUGACACCAAGGAAGGUCCCUUGGGGCGUCUCUGAGAAGUGAGCCCCACCUCAGGCCACAGGUCUCCAGAGCCUGGCACUUCACCCUUGAGGUUCACCCUCUUGCUUGUAUAUGUGGUGGGACAUAGGCUGAAUGCAACCUCAAACACAUCUGCUGCCGCAGACUGGAUAAAGAAGUGGCACGGGGGCUGGGGAUUUUGCUCAGCAGCAUAAGUGCCUGCCUUGCAAGCAGGCAGUCCUGAGUUCGAUCCGUGGUACCAAUAAAAAAAAGAAAAAGACAAAAAAAAAGAAGUGGCACGUAGCCAGCCAGGCGUGGUGGCACAUGCUGGUAAUCUCAGCUGCCCAGGAGGCUGAGGCAGGAGGAUGUGAGUUCCAGGCCAGCUCGGGCUACGUAGUGGGUUAAAGGCCACUCUGCACUACAUAGCAAGACCCUGUCUCAACAACCCAAACAUCAAAAAAAAAAAAAAAAAAAAGAAUUGGAGAUAUAGCUCAGUGGUAGAGCCCUUGCCUAGGGUGUGUGAGGUUGUGGAUUCAGUCCACAGCACCAAACUUUUUUUGAAGGAGGCGAAGAAACACUUGCCACGUUGAGUGCCUCUCACUGGUAACUCACCCUGAACACUGCUGAGCCUGGCUGAGUUUUCAGUCUUCAGGACAAGCAAUGCAGGCCUCAAAGACUCCCCAGGCAUCGCCUCUGUCUCGCAGAGCCAACUCCGGCUGCUAAACGCAGGUGCAGGCAUAGACUUCAGACAAACCAUUCGGGCCACAAGAAGCAGGAACCCGAGUCUCCUCGAAGUUCCUGCUCUCAGAGCUGCUUUAUUCCUGUCUUCAGUCAUCCAUUUCGAAAACCAGCCCCGCUUCCGGUGCUUUCCUGGGCUUCGCUGUCCACUGGUUACAAAUAAAACUGCUAACUACA